GUUAAUUACUAUCAUAUGUGUUAUCUCAUUUGAGGGUGAUAAGAUCCCACUUUACAGAUGAAGUUCCAGCUCCCACGAGAGACUUGGUGAUACCAUCAUUUGGCGCUGAGUCGCAGGUCUGACAGCUAAUCCAAAGCUCUUUCUCCCUCAGCUGAGUCUGAAAGAUGGAUAGAGAGCCACCACCAAGGGGAGAGGGACCGCAGGAUUUGGACUUCAGAGGAAGAAAAGCACGCUCGUCCCAGCCUUGUCACCUACAGAGACAGGAACUGCAUUUGGCCACAGGUAGCAGAUCCAGAAUGAUGGUGUCUGAAGUGGGGGUAAGGUGCGAUGGUCAUGUCCUGUGGGAGAUGGGCUUAGGAUUCCGACAGCUCCCUGGAGGUCAUCGGUGUUGCAGGACUGUUCUCACUUCCUGCUCUGCUACCCUUGGUGGUGGCUUCCAUUCUCAACCUCAUUUCAUGGCCCCAAGACGGCAGUUGCAGCUCCAACUGCAACUUCGAAGGAG
rnacentral:lncRNA from 1 species